AACUAUGAUCAAUGUGAUGC
rnacentral:siRNA from 1 species